rnacentral:ncRNA from 15 species
GGGAAUCCGGUGGGAAUCCGGAACUGUCCCGCAACGGUGUGGGAGCGCGCUCGACCGGCCGGACACC